rnacentral:lncRNA from 1 species
UAAGAAAACAAAAUCCCCAUUAUAAACGCCACCCGACAACAGGCUUUGGUUUGCCUAAUGACAAUGUAGUAUGCCACAUUUGUAUGGCCUCAUAUAUCAGAAGCAGAUGUUCAUCGGACACACCUUCGGUGGUCAUUAAAUCCAGUUUUUCGGUAUCAUAGGUAUUGCAUAUUAAAUCACAUAGAUAAGAUUCAACCACCCCAUAGAUUUUUCCUGGGGACACAGUCAACCCUGUAGUCUUCUUUAAAACAGUUUCUAAAAGUAACAGGAAGGGGUGUCUGUCCAGCAUAACACAUAUGUCAUGGUAGUGGGAUUCGUAGUGAUGAUGUGUCGCUCCCUGCAGGCAUGAAUGGCGUCGUUGACUUGGGCAAUCACAUUGGCAUCCCCAGCAGGCCGCUUGCUUCUGAUGGCUGAUGAUGACUACCACACAGAGCCCCGUGGUAAAUCGCAGAACAGCCAACGAUGCAGGGUUUAAACGGAUCUGUAUGUCAUGGUCUGUCGUGUUUCCCUGUGUUUCCCUCCUGUGUUGAUUGCUGAUCCCUCCCCUAAUGUGUCUCAGCUGUUCCUCGUUCUGUUUGUUACUUAAGCCCUUGUCUUUCCUUUGUUCCUUGUGGUUGUUAGUCCUGCGUGUUCCCUGUUCCCUGUUGUCUCCCGAGUUCCCUGAUUCCUGUGCCUUUAGCCUUUAGGCGUGAAUAAAGUGCCGUUUUCCUGAAUGCGUCUGGGUCCUACCUGCACACGCAACUACCCUAACACUGUAUUGAUACAGGCCAUCCGUCAUCUCUCAUAGCAGUGUCCACCUCCAGCUCACUGUCCUCUCCGAUGUGUAGGAAGGACAGAUUCAAUCCGGCCAGAUAGAUGGCAUACUCUUGAAGCCAGUGGGGUCCGGGUUGUACGGCCUUUAAAUCAGCAGUCUCCAUAGCCACACCCCCACUUUGCACAUGUUCAUCAUUGACCUGUGCUGCAUAGCGUAUCAAAAAUAUACCAUUAGAAUAUGAAAAUCAAAAAAAAUACACACAACACACACAUAUUAAUAUAAGGUAUAGCCUAUCAAAAACACAUUUAAAAAGGAAAAGAAAACACCGUUAAUACUACUAGCAUGUACCCCACCUUCUUA